GGGGUGUUAGGGCACGACACCGGAGAGGGAGCCUGAGAAACGGCUACCACAUCCAAGGAUGGCAGCAGGCGCGCAAAUUACCCAAUCCCGACACGGGGAGGUAGUGACAAUAAAUAACAAUACGGGGUUCUUUAGGAUCUCGUAAUUGGAAUGAGUACAAUUUAAAUCUCUUAACGAGGAACAAUUGGAGGGCAAGUCUGGUGCCAGCAGCCGCGGUAAUUCCAGCUCCAAUAGCGUAUAUUAAAGUUGUUGCAGUUAAAAAGCUCGUAGUUGAAUUUCGGGGUUAGUAGGUUGGUCAUGCCUCUGGUAUGUACUGGUCUCACUGAUUCCUCCUUCCUGAUGAACCUUAAUGCCAUUAAUUUGGUGUUUUGGGGAAUUUGGACUGUUACUUUGAAAAAAUUAGAGUGUUUAAAGCAAGCUAACGCUUGAAUACAUUAGCAUGGAAUAAUGAAAUAGGACGUUCGAUCCUAUUUUGUUGGUUUCUAGGAUUGACGUAAUGAUUAAUAGGGAUAGUUGGGGGCAUUAGUAUUCAAUUGUCAGAGGUGAAAUUCUUGGAUUUAUUGAAGACUAACUACUGCGAAAGCAUUUGCCAAGGAUGUUUUCAUUAAUCAAGAACGAAAGUUAGGGGAUCGAAGACGAUCAGAUACCGUCGUAUCUUAACCAUAAACUAUGCCGACUAGGGAUCGGAUGAUGUUAAUUUUUUAAUGACUCAUUCUCGCUUACGGACA
rnacentral:rRNA from 1 species